UGGGAGGGUGGCCCGGGGUCAGGCCCGGGGCUGGUCCCGCAGCCAGGGCCGAGGGAGCUGUUUGGAGACGUUUCUGAUCGUCACGGGGCGGGGGCCACGUCGGCUGUUGGGUCCAGGCGGGGAGGCCCGGGCGGCCCCCACCGCAGCGCGGGCGCGGCCUGAGGUCCUGUUGCCAGGGAGCCUUUGCAGGGAGCGCUGACUGGACUUGCUGUGGACUGGAUGCAGCUGGGGUGGGGGUGCCGAGAGGGUGGGAUCCUGGGUGAGUCACUCGUGGGGCCGUGGGGAGGCAGGCUGGUGGCAGUGAGCCAGGUUUUUGUGUUUUGAGGAAGAAGUUAGUGCAGAGUUCUACUUGAGAUAGGUUACCGUGGAGGUGCUUGUGAAAUCCCAUGCGGAGUGCUUGGGGUGCUCCCUGGGGAGAGUGGGACUGAGGGAACUGAGGGCUGGUGGGCCCACAAGGGUUCGAGAACAAAAGAGAGGCCUUAGAGCCCUGUCCUGGGGCCCUGGGUGCCUCCCCCCAGCUCUGAGGCCCAGAUAGAGCCAGGGUGUGCCGGCAGUGGCAGGGGCGGGAACGGGGGUGGGGGACGGUAGGACGGUGCUGCCUGUCCACCCAGCUGAACGUGGGAGAAUGCACGAAACCAACUGGCUAGAGAUUCUGCACGAUCGUCACCUGGCCCCCCAGCCCAGGCAGCGUGCUGGUCUAGUUUGCGGUGGCCACUUGGCAC
rnacentral:lncRNA from 1 species